rnacentral:rRNA from 1 species
AGUGAACGCUGGCGGUAGGCCUAACACAUGCAAGUCGAACGGCAGCACAGUAAGAGCUUGCUCUUACGGGUGGCGAGUGGCGGACGGGUGAGGAAUACAUCGGAAUCUACUUUUUCGUGGGGGAUAACGUAGGGAAACUUACGCUAAUACCGCAUACGACCUACGGGUGAAAGCAGGGGAUCUUCGGACCUUGCGCGAUUGAAUGAGCCGAUGUCGGAUUAGCUAGUUGGCGGGGUAAAGGCCCACCAAGGCGACGAUCCGUAGCUGGUCUGAGAGGAUGAUCAGCCACACUGGAACUGAGACACGGUCCAGACUCCUACGGGAGGCAGCAGUGGGGAAUAUUGGACAAUGGGCGCAAGCCUGAUCCAGCCAUACCGCGUGAGUGAAGAAGGCCUUCGGGUUGUAAAGCCCUGUUGUUGGGAAAGAAAAGCAGCAGGUUAAUACCCCGCUGUUCUGACGGUACCCAAAGAAAAAGCACCGGCUAACUUCGUG